UCGGAGAGUUUGAUCCUGGCUCAGGAUGAACGCUGGCGGCGUGCCUAAUACAUGCAAGUCGAGCGAACUGAUUAGAAGCUUGCUUCUAUGACGUUAGCGGCGGACGGGUGAGUAACACGUGGGCAACCUGCCUGUAAGACUGGGAUAACUUCGGGAAACCGAAGCUAAUACCGGAUAGGAUCUUCUCCUUCAUGGGAGAUGAUUGAAAGAUGGUUUCGGCUAUCACUUACAGAUGGGCCCGCGGUGCAUUAGCUAGUUGGUGAGGUAACGGCUCACCAAGGCAACGAUGCAUAGCCGACCUGAGAGGGUGAUCGGCCACACUGGGACUGAGACACGGCCCAGACUCCUACGGGAGGCAGCAGUAGGGAAUCUUCCGCAAUGGACGAAAGUCUGACGGAGCAACGCCGCGUGAGUGAUGAAGGCUUUCGGGUCGUAAAACUCUGUUGUUAGGGAAGAACAAGUACAAGAGUAACUGCUUGUACCUUGACGGUACCUAACCAGAAAGCCACGGCUAACU
rnacentral:rRNA from 2 species